rnacentral:rRNA from 1 species
GACGAACGCUGGCGGCGUGCUUAACACAUGCAAGUCGAACGGAAAGGCCCUGCUUUUGUGGGGUGCUCGAGUGGCGAACGGGUGAGUAACACGUGAGUAACCUGCCCUUGACUUUGGGAUAACUUCAGGAAACUGGGGCUAAUACCGGAUAGGAGCUCCUGCUGCAUGGUGGGGGUUGGAAAGUUUCGGCGGUUGGGGAUGGACUCGCGGCUUAUCGGCUUGUUGGUGGGGUAGUGGCUUACCAAGGCUUUGAAGGGUAGCCGGCCUGAGCGGGUGACCGGCCACAUUGGGACUGAGAUACGACCCAGACUCCAACGGGACGCAACGGUGGGGAGUAUUGCACUAUGGGCGGAAGCCUGAUGCAACAACGCCGCGUGCGGGAUGACGGCCUGCGGGUUGUGAACCGCUUUCGCCUGUGACGAAGCGUGAGUGACGGUAAUGGGUAAAGAAGCACCGGCUAACUACGUG